UACGUAGGUGGCGAGCGUUAUCCGGAAUGAUUGGGCGUAAAGGGUGCGUAGGCGGCCUGCUAAGUCUGGAGUGAAAGGUACCGGCUCAACCGGUACAGGCUCUGGAAACUGGCGGGCUAGAGAGCAGGAGAGGGCGGUGGAACUCCAUGUGUAGCGGUAAAAUGCGUAGAUAUAUGGAAGAACACCGGUUGCGAAGGCGGCUCUCUGGACUGUAACUGACACUGAGGCACGAAAGCGUGGGGAGCAAACAGG
rnacentral:rRNA from 1 species